UUUUUUUUUUUUUUUUUUUUUUAAAACAUUAUCCUAAAAAGCAAUGGAACAAGUCUCCUGCAUCACAGCUCCAGUGUAAGCCAUACAUCCACCUCUGGCCGUUUUAAAGCUGAGGGCCACAGUGCAGGGAACAACUGCAAACAAGUGUGUGCCUGCAGAAAGCUGGACACUUCUCCAGCUGUUAGAAAGGCACGCUGGAGAUGUAAGUUUGAAGGGACUCUGGUGAAAGCCUCUCCACAACGACCAGCUAAGAAAAAGUAAGGAAAGCUUUAUACCUCCAAAAGGGAUGUCUGGAAUCUGGAGCUCUCUCUCACAGUGCAAAAUGGGAAAACACACAGCAGCCUGCAUGGAUUUAAAUCACUCUUCUAAAUAUUCCUAAGGCAUCCAGCUCCCUUCAAUGUACCUGAACAGGUGCCUCUCAGAACAUUAAGGUGUAUAAUCCUCUGAGACAGAGAAAUACAUAUAUUUCCCUACAAAAGAAGAAGAAAUCCUUAACCAUAUCUCUUUAUCCACAUGUGUCCUGCAAGUAUUCCAGGGACAACUGUAUCCCAGAAGGUGUUGUACUACCUUGGUCUUGAGUAGAAGAUACCAAAGAUGCCUGGAGCUUUGUCUUUCAAAAGUGCUACACAACACAGAGCUCGCAUGAAACAGUGUGGGAUCGUUUUUGGAGGACAAUGGCCACGUUAGACAAAAGCAAGACUUUGGCUGCAUCGCAGAAGGGAUGUGAAAAGAGGAGGAAGAACUGGGAGCGCUAUACAGCUGGUGAAUGCUGAGAACAUCUUGACCUUCAUCGGCCAGAAGCCUUGGAAGUAGCAAGU